rnacentral:rRNA from 1 species
UACAGAGGGUGCGAGCGUUAAUCGGAAUUACUGGGCGUAAAGCGCGCGUAGGCGGCUUUGCAAGUCGGAUGUGAAAUCCCCGGGCUUAACCUGGGAACUGCAUUCGAGACUGCAUAGCUAGAGUAUGGGAGAGGGAAGUGGAAUUUCAGGUGUAGCGGUGAAAUGCGUAGAUAUCUGAAGGAACAUCAGUGGCGAAAGCGACUUCCUGGACCAAUACUGACGCUCAUGUGCGAAAGCGUGGGGAGCAAACAGG